rnacentral:rRNA from 1 species
AGUGAACGCUGGCGGUAGGCCUAACACAUGCAAGUCGAACGGCAGCACAGGAGAGCUUGCUCUCUGGGUGGCGAGAGGCGGACGGGUGAGGAAUACAUCGGAAUCUACUUUUUCGUGGGGGAUAACGUAGGGAAACUUACGCUAAUACCGCAUACGACCUACGGGUGAAAGCAGGGGACCUUCGGGCCUUGCGCGAUUGAAUGAGCCGAUGUCGGAUUAGCUAGUUGGCGGGGUAAAGGCCCACCAAGGCGACGAUCCGUAGCUGGUCUGAGAGGAUGAUCAGGCACACUGGAACUGAGACACGGUCCAGACUCCUACGGGAGGCAGCAGUGGGGAAUAUUGGACAAUGGGCGCAAGCCUGAUCCAGCCAUACCGCGUGGGUGAAGAAGGCCUUCGGGUUGUAAAGCCCUUUUGUUGGGAAAGAAAUCCAGCCGGCUAAUACCUGGUUGGGAUGACGGUACCCAAAGAAUAAGCACCGGCUAACUUCGUGCCAGCCGCCGCAGUAA